AUACGUAGGUGGCAAGCGUUAUCCGGAAUUAUUGGGCGUAAAGAGUGAGCAGGCGGUUAAUUAAGUCUGAGGUUAAAGCGUGGGGCUCCACCCCCUAAAGCCUUGGAAACUGAUUGCCUAGAGGACGGGAGAAGUGAAGGGAAAUCCAUGUGUAGCGGUGAAAUGCGUAGAUAUAUGGAAGAACACCAGUGGCGAAGGCGCUUCACUAGCCCGAAACUGACGCUCAGUCACGAAAGCGUGGGUAGCAAAUAGGAUUAGAUACCCUAGUAGUCCACGCUGUAAACGAUGACAACUAAAUAUUGCCGCGAGGCAGUGUUGAAGCUAACGCAUUAAGUUGUCCGCCUGGGGAGUACGGUCGCAAGACUGAAACUUAAAGGAAUUGACGGGG
rnacentral:rRNA from 1 species